rfam:Ricinus communis cultivar Hale ctg_1100012330194, whole genome shotgun sequence.
AUGGAAUGGUGAUAUUUUCCCCAGAUUAUCAAUGCUGAAUAAACUGUGCGAUCUUUCUCUUUUGAGAAUUCAAGCCAGGAUUCUGAUCCGU